rnacentral:SRP_RNA from 1 species
GCAGACAAGUCGGCGCGCUAGCCCUGCGCCAUUCGCAAAUGGGCUUUAUGGCGGACUGAAAGGAGUGCGUGAGGCAGAGGUUUAUGGGUCUUUCACCCAACGUUGACGUUUUGUCCUGCUCGACCACACUCCUAUGAAACGGGUCAGACCUUGAUCGGAGCAGCCCUAAGUAGGACGAAGGUGCUAGUAGGGAAGCAAAACCGAGAAAGGCGAGAGGUAGCUCAUAAACUAAAACUGAGCAAUCUUCCCGUCUGC